ensembl:lncRNA
CCAGCUCUUUGCGACCCUAUGGACUGUAGCCCGCUAGGCUCCUCUGCAUGGGAUUGCAACAGAGUUGCCAUGUCUUCCUCCAAAGGAUCUUCCCAACCCAGGGAUCAAACCCCCAUCUCUUACGUCUCCUGCAUUGGUAGGCAGGUUCUUUACCACCAGCACCACCUCAGAAGCCCCAUGUCAUGCACUGCAGCCAUUAAAAAAAAAAAAAAGUAAGUAAAAUAAAAUAGAUUCUGUUUAACUUUCAUUUCCCAGUUCCUAUCAGUACAGGUCAAAAAUGGAGAUGGAGACAAAGGGGGACAGACGAAUGGAGACUCUGUAACAGGAAUGAGGUGGUGCUAGUGGCUUGCUUCCCCACCCUUCGCCAGGGGUGUGCUGAAACCUGUCCAUCCACCUUCUUUUUGCCUCUCACCUGGGUUUCAGGUCACUUCCCUAGUGUUCACCAUCAUUCAGGAAGGCCGGUCAUCCUGCAGGUAUUUCUGGAGCACAUGCCUCCUGGCUGCCCACCUGGGCCUGCUUCUGAGCUGCUCUCUCGUCUGCCCUGUAAGUCAUGUGGUGUGGAACCCUCCGAUGCGGCCACAAGGCUGCGUCAAUGUGCUGUCCUGGAAACCUUUAGGCACAGCUCCUUCAUUCUCCAGCCCGCUUCAUUCUCCAGCAAAGUCAUUUUGAGUGUUUGCCAGGCACCAGGCACUUGGAACACAGGGAUAAAUAAAACACAGUCCGGCCCUUGAAGAGAGUCUGGCCUCGUGGAGGAGGGGAGGGUUCUUACGUUGGGUUCUCCCACUUGGAGGUGUCUUAAAUUCUGAUGCCCAGGCAUCAGCACAAGUGAAAUGUCAGCAGGUGGACAGCAUGGGGAAGGCAUCCCAGGAAGAGGCGACAUGCAGGGUGAGGUCUCAGACUGGCCUUCCAGGAGGGCUGACCUCCUCCUUCAGUGCUGGAGAGAGCCCUGGUAACUUGCUCCACCUUGAGCUGAGAGAGAGAAGCCAUGACAGUAAGAAUAGUAGUAGCUUACUAUGUUCGAGACCACCUCUGUCCAACAGAACCUUCUGUGAUGCCAGCACUGAGGCGAAGGAAGAAAACCAGAGGUUGGAAUGCACGGCUGGGGUUAGGAGCGCCGGGGUCCCACCCACGCUUGAUCAUCGUCAUAAAAUUGCAGGGCACGUCCCCACUCUGAAUCUCAGGCUCCCCAUCUGUAAAAUGAUGCUAUUGGCUUUGGACUUGGUGAUCUGACAUCCAAACGCCUCCUGUGAGCGCAGGCAAUGAAAACGGACCAGGGAGACCUAACAUGGGGGCAUCUACCAUUCGAUUCGCCCUGAGUCGUCACACAGGAAUGCUGGCCUACUGUUCCCAGACAUUCUGAUUUUCACCAAAGCUGGACUUGCCGUUUACCACCCCAUGGCUGAACCUUGCGGGCAUCAUGCUGAGUGAAAUAAUUCAGACACAGAAAGACAAAUGCCCUAGAUUCUCACUUAUAGGGCGACUCUGGAACAAAACAGAACAGAAAACCAUGCUCCUGCAUACAGAGAAGAGAUCAGGGGUUGCCAGAGGCUGGGAGGAGGGAGGGAAAAAUAGUUGAAGGGAGUCAAAAUGGGGUUUUUGCAAAAG